rnacentral:rRNA from 1 species
UCAGUUCGGAUUGUAGGCUGAAACUCGCUUACAUGAAGCUGGAGUUACUAGUAAUCGCAGAUCAGAAUGCUGCGGUGAAUGCGUUCCCGGGUCUUGUACACACCGCCCGUCACACCAUGGGAGUCGGAAAUGCCCGAAGUCGGUGACCGAACCGAAAGGAAGGAGCCGCCGAAGGCAGGUCUGGUGACUGGGGUGAAGUCGUAACAAGGUAUC